rnacentral:rRNA from 1 species
GACGAACGCUGGCGGCGUGCCUAAUACAUGUAAGUUGAGCGCUGAAGGUUGGUACUUGUACCAACUGGAUGAGCAGCGAACGGGUGAGUAACGCGUGGGGAAUCUGCCUUUGAGCGGGGGACAACAUUUGGAAACGAAUGCUAAUACCGCAUAAAAACUUUAAACACAAGUUUUAAGUUUGAAAGAUGCAAUUGCAUCACUCAAAGAUGAUCCCGCGUUGUAUUAGCUAGUUGGUGAGGUAAAGGCUCACCAAGGCGAUGAUACAUAGCCGACCUGAGAGGGUGAUCGGCCACAUUGGGACUGAGACACGGCCCAAACUCCUACGGGAGGCAGCAGUAGGGAAUCUUCGGCAAUGGACGAAAGUCUGACCGAGCAACGCCGCGGGAGUGAAGAAGGUUUUCGGAUCGUAAAACUCUGUUGGUAGAGAAGAACGUUGGUGAGAGUGGAAAGCUCAUCAAGUGACGGUAACUACCCAGAAAGGGACGGCUAACUACGUG